rnacentral:rRNA from 1 species
AUGGCAUGCUUGAUUUUGUGGUGGACUUGUGGCACUAAUGAUGCACCGUUGUUGCACUGCCUUGUCUUGACUGAAUGCAUCUUGUCAGGUCAUCCUAAGUUCAAGGAUGUAUUCUCUGGUUACGAAAUGAUAGACGCAUAUGCAGUUAUUAUGCUUCCCAGUUUGUUGACGAGCUAUUUGUUUCAACCAUGGAAAUAUAUUUAUAGUGUAAUCAACCUCUUGUCAUGCCAUCUUCUGAAGUGA